CCUACGGGAGGCAGCAGUGGGGAAUAUUGCACAAUGGGGGAAACCCUGAUGCAGCAACGCCGCGUGAGGGAAGACGGUUUUCGGAUUGUAAACUUCUGUUCUAAGUGAAGAAUAAUGACGGUAGCUAAGGAGCAAGCCACGGCUAACUACGUGCCAGCAGCGGCGGGAAAACGUAGGUGGCAAGCGUUGUCCGGAAUUACUGGGGGUAAAGGGAGCGCAGGCGGGUAGCCAAGGCAGGUGGGAAAACGACGGGGUUAACUUGUAGAAUGCAGUUGAAACUGGUUUUCUUGAGUGAAGUAGAGGUUGGUGGAAUUCCGGGUGUAGCGGUGAAAUGCGUAGAUAUUCGGAGGAACACCGGUGGCGAAGGCGGCCAACUGGGCUUUAACUGACGCUGAGGCUCGAAAGUGUGGGGAGCAAACAGGAUUAGAUACCCUAGUAGUC
rnacentral:rRNA from 1 species